GGGGAAUAUUGGACAAUGGGCGAAAGCCUGAUCCAGCCAUGCCGCGUGUGUGAAGAAGGUCUUCGGAUUGUAAAGCACGUUAAGUUGGGAGGAAGGGUUUCUGGCUAAUAUCCAGGAAUUUUGACGUUACCGACAGAAGAAGCACCGGCUAACUCCGUGCCAGCAGCCGCGGUAAUACGGAGGGUGCGAGCGUUAAUCGGAAUUACUGGGCGUAAAGCGUGCGCAGGCGGGUUGUUAAGCGAGAUGUGAAAGCCCCGGGCUCAACCUGGGAUGGUCAUUUCGCACUGGCAAGCUAGAGUCUCGUAGAGGGGGGUAGAAUUCCAGGUGUAGCGGUGAAAUGCGUAGAGAACUGGAGGAAUACCGGUGGCGAAGGCGGCCCCCUGGACGAAGACUGACGCUCAGGCACGAAAGCGUGGGGAGCAAACA
rnacentral:rRNA from 1 species